CCUACGGGAGGCAGCAGUGGGGAAUCUUGCACAAUGGAGGAAACUCUGAUGCAGCGAUGCCGCGUGAGUGAAGAAGGCCUUUGGGUUGUAAAGCUCUUUUGUAGGGGAAGAUAAUGACUGUACCCUAAGAAUAAGGUCCGGCUAACUUCGUGCCAGCAGCCGCGGUAAUACGAAGGGACCUAGCGUAGUUCGGAAUUACUGGGCGUAAAGCGCGCGUAGGCCGUUGAGUUAGUUAAUUGUGAAAUCCCAAAGCUUAACUUUGGAACUGCAAUUAAAACUGCUCGACUAGAGUUUGAUAGAGGAAAGCGGAAUACAUAGUGUAGAGGUGAAAUUCGUAGAUAUUAUGUAGAACACCAGUUGCGAAGGCGGCUUUCUGGAUCAACACUGACGCUGAGGCGCGAAAGUAUGGGUAGCAAAGAGGAUUAGAUACCCUCGUAGUCCAUACCAUAAACGAUGAUUGCUAGAUGUUGGAAAUUUAUUUUCAGUAUCGCAGCUAACGCAUUAAGCAAUCCGCCUGGGGAGUACGACCGCAAGGUUAAAACUUAAAGGAAAUUGACGG
rnacentral:rRNA from 1 species